GCCGGGAGGUGAUGCGCUCCUCAGUGGCUGCAGGGACCCGCAGGAGCUGCCACCACCGCCGCCACCGCCAGCAGCAGCACCGCCACCUCCUCCUGGAGCAGCGAGGGAAGGACGGAGCAGCCCUCCCGCUGGAGCCGGGGCUCGCUGGGUGAACGUUCAGCAGUGCUGUGCUGCCAGAAAUGCUCGCUGAGCCCGUGCGAGGGGGAAAUCUUACCAGAACUGCUGAGGUUGCCCCAGAAAGACCCUUUGCAGGCUGACUCCACAUCCUCAGAGCUGAUCUGAUCGGGGCCUACCAAAGACAUUAACGACGUCGAAAGUAGCUUACUUUAAGAGAAAAUAUGCAGAAGAAGAACAUUUACAUCAAGAUUACCAUGAGUAUUGUCCAAAACACCUGAUACUACCAGAGGACCGGACUUGUAUCCUAAAAUUAUCUCUCCAGAAACUCCGCUUCCUGGACGACCCCGAAGCCUAUCUCCGUAGGUCUGUAUUAAUUAACAAUCUGUUGAGGAAGAUUCACCUAGAGACAGAGAGGGAGAGCUAUGAAUACUUUAAGGAGGCUCCGUGCUAUAGGACUGCCUACUCUGACGCACGAAAACGGCUGAAGUUUAUGGUGCAGGAGUGCUGUUCCCAGUCGCUCUAUUAUGAAGAGCUGCACUCGUAUCGCAUCGUGCCUUACUCUGCAGAGAACGCCGUUUACGGGAUGGGCUACACGGGCAGCCACCUGGAGCAAAAUUCUCAGUUGCUUAUUUAUAAAAUGAAUUAAAGUAGCUGUUAGACCCACUGAUGUCUGUUUCUGGAUGCUUGAACUGCUUUGUUGAGGUGUUGAGAUGAGGCACUAAUUGCAGACGUGUUUGGGAUCGGAGGGCGCCGGGAGCUGAGCGGAAGGUGCUUUGGAUAAUGCUCUGCAGCCCCCGCUGUUGACCCUCGGUGUGAAGCACCUUGCUGUAACACACAGAGAGGUGUAACACGGAGGUUCCAACCUGCAGAGACUGCGUGCAAGGCGGUUUGUAGAAACAAAGCUGCACCUAAAAUUACUUGUGUGUAGAUACGGAUGCUCCAAAUCACUUUCGCGGUUAAAUUACGCCAGCCCCGGUGCAAGGGGAGCCCCCAAAGCAGUGGAAUAGUCUAACAGUGAGGAGUUAAACACAAGUUAUCUGCUGUAAAAGUGUAGACAGAAAGUUUCUUUGAGAAUUGCUUUGACCAUGAAGGAGUCAGUGCCGAAGGAGUCAGUGCCAAAGGAAUCAGUCUUUAGCUUAGGAUUUUCAGAGACUGAACUUGCUUGCUACUUACAGACACUCUGUACUGAGUUUUGCAAGUGUUUGUGGGUUGGUUUUUUAAAAAAAUAAUUGCAUUCACCUUUUACUUAUAUUAUCUCUUAGCUGGUAUCUACUUUGCUGUUUUAAUACAAACCAGAAUGACUCACAGGAAAGAUUGUUUCUUCAGCCCAUCAUCGGUGUUCCCUUAACUUCAUUUGCCUCUUUCCCUAGCUGUUUCCCUGAUACUUCUUUGCAUGCUAAUUUGCUGUUUGGCCCAAGGUUCACACUGGUGCUAGGGAAUAGACAGCAAUUUCUUUUUAUGUGGACUAUAAAAGGCAGAAAAACAAUGAUAACUCUCAUAGAUAGAAAAUGAAUGUAUCUGACAGAUGCUGGUAAGACCUCAGAGGCUCUCCUGAUGAAACUGCUCAGCAUUAGUAAUAGUGUUUCAGGUUAAGUGAAAUGUCUAAUUUCAAUCUGGGAAUUAACUUUAAAAUAUGUAAAUAUAUAUAUUUCACAAGCUAUGGCAUGUGGGAUGCUCAGCAAACGGAAUGACUACAAGCAGAAAGUUUCAUAGCUGCCAAAGCUACGUCGCGAAAAAUACCAAAGAGUAACAUUAGGGGAAAGAUGAUGCUCCAGCAAUGGGGUCAGAAGCAAAGAUUGCACUAUAAUCCGGGGGAAUGUGAUUAAGGAGCCUGUAAAUUAGCCGUUAGCGAUACACUCGCAGCUCCCGAGGGGGACCUGCAUCCCAGAACUGCUGAACAAACACACGGGAUGGUUCAAAGCCUGUCAAAGUCCUACAGGUCUGUUGGCUUGCAGUGAAGAAAACGGCUUUGCCUCGCUGGCUAUCACCACUUUAAAGCUUUAAAGCAAAGUAAAUAAUAGCGCACACUCAGCUGGAGGCCAAGAUAGAUAUAUAUAUAUAUCUCUAAGAACUUAAUUUUUUAUUUAUUUUGAAAGGCUUUGCUCUUGCAGAUGUGGCUGAUGCUGUUUCUGAAGCAUUAUAUAGUGUGAACAAAUACAGUGGCUUGCCAGGAACGUGCUUUUUUGUGUCAGAUUCCUCCUGUCACCCUGCUCAGAGCACCCUGGUCGUGUGUGUCGCACAUAUCGUCACAGCUCCCAGGCACGUGUUGGUGCUGGAGAAAAGGCAGAAAGGCAGAAGCAAAAAGGUGCAAAGAACAAAGUUAACUCCGGUAUCAGUAGCUAGUAGUCAGUAGGAAGGUUUAGGAGAUGGGAGCAGUAAAAUCCAGAUUUUUUUUUUUUUUUUAAUAUAUAUAUAAAAAAAAAAAUGUCAGCAGUGUAAUUCCAAACAAGAAUAACCUGCAAACUGGAGAAUAUAAACAUCUCAGAUACUGUGAGAUACUGUGGGAAGACUGAAAAAACAGGCCAGUGCUGUUUGGGAGGUGCUGUUAGUCAUGAUGAAUUUUCAGGUUUCUGUUUUUGCUUUAAGUCACAUUUACUUAUCUCUUAGAAAAGGAGGUCUUUCAAUCCUCAGCCAGUGCAGUUCAGUCUCAGAGCUUCCUGCCUCAGUGUGGUUUGAUUCCUGCUGCCCCUGGGCUUGCACCAGCCCAAAAUCAUGCACCUGAUCCAGUUGCAUGAUUUAAGAAAUGGUUCCGAUGUGGUUUGAGAAAUCUCCAGUUUGAGAAAUCUCCAGUGGAAAGGGGCCAUGCUCAAUUCAACAGAGGGCCGGGAGAGCCCGGGCUGCUGGCCAGGUGUGUAGGGCAGCACCAGUAAGAGCUGGCAGAGAAGUCCAUUUGCUGUUGUGAGAGUUGCCAUUAUCCCCCAGGAGCUCUCUGGCGUCUAUGGCACUGGGAACACCUUGUCCUACCCCAGGGUUGGGGGAAUGGUAAAGGAAAAUUACUCCUGUCUUUUUAUUUUUCAAACUAUGUAAUUUUCCACUCUGAAGUGGUCUGAUUUAUGCAAUUUUUUUCUCUUCAUGUCUGUUUUCACCUGAUUUCAUAACGAUCUAGCAUGUACAGGAAAUGCUUAAAUGCUUCUUUUCUCUUGCUGACUCAAUUUUACAUGCAUAGGAUGGUUCUGGCUUGAAUAAACAAAACUUUUAGCUUAAAAUUAGAAAUGUUUGAAUGAAAUGAAAAAAGCUCAGUAGGAUCAAAGUUGUUAACCUCACCUGAACAAAAAAACCCAAAACAUUGGCCUGAUCAGAAUCACCUUUGAAGAGGUUCCUUGCCUGCUGAAAGAGGUAGAUACUUUCUCACCUAUUGAAAGCUUCUCUGUGAAGGCAUUGUGAUAACUGAACUGAUAUAAGAGACAAAAAUCUGCAUCAGGUCACAAAACUCCUUGGGCUACCUAGGAAAGAGGACGAUAAUUUACUCCUGUUUUUUUCAUGUGCUGUUUUCUUGAACAAAACCCAUUGUCUCUUUUUUUAAUUUUUACUUGCUCCAGGAGCUGUUAAAAUGGAUUAUUUCUUUCUAGAGAACAAAUUGGGUUUUUUAUGGUUGACUUUUUGUUAUGGAAUUGAAUCAAAGGUUCACUGUUCUAUAUGCUUUAAGUCUGCUUCAGUUUUUACUGCCUUUUGCUUUGCCCAGUGAUUGGUGCUGCUGCAAAUGGGUCUGAAAAAUUCAACUUGAGUGUUUAAAUAUAGUUUAUGGGGUGAUAAACAAGUACAAAUGUGCAAUAACAUUGCAAGUGACUCCCAAAAUAUUUAAUUUGACACCUCUUGAAUUAUAUACUUUUAUUCAUUUUAACAUUUUGUUGCCAAGUUACUGGGUACCAGCAUUUUAAUACUGUUACAUACAGUGAUUUUUCUUUUUUGGGUUUGUAGCUACAGUUCAGCUCUUCUGGCUUCUGAUGUGAGAAUCUGUCUGUAGGUGGUCAACUUUCAGUGGGAUAGAUUGAUAUAUAUAUAUAUAUAUAUAUGUUCUAUUAUGACUUCAUUAGGAACUCCUACAUAUGGGCUAUGUUUGCACUGGAUGUAAAGAAAGUCCUUGCUUCCCUUUGACUCAGUUGCCUUGGAGAUAGAAUAUUCAUCAGAGAGAAUAUAGAUGAGCUGGGUAACAAGGACAGGCUUGGUGAGGAGAGCUGAUCACUUUGGAAAUGACUGGCUUAGGACAAUUAAUUUUCACCGGGGAAUAGCAGCACUCUUGGCUGUAAUUAGUGUUUCUAUGAGCUGAGUUUUCUUUGUGCUGCUUUUCUGGCUGGAGAUGCUGGUGAAGGGUGUACAGGGGUGGCUUUGUGAGGGCCACAGUGUGGCUGUGGAUGGGAUCUGGUGCAGAACCCCAGCACUGAGUUUGAGCAGCCUGCCCUAGUGAAGGUGCGCCCACCCACGGCAGGAGGGCUGGAACUAAACGGUCUUUAAGGUCUCUUCCAACUCAAACCAUUCCAACAUUCCAUGAUUCUGAGACAUUAAGGCCCUGAUCCUGUAAAUGCUUGGGUUAUCACCCCAUUUCCUUGCACAGACCCUCUCGCUGGAGCUCGGGAGGCUCCUGGUGUGCUUGAUGCUCAGCAUGUGCAUGAGCUUUUGCAGGGCUGGGGCUGCGCCCGCCGCAGAGAUUCCCCUCCAUCGCCGCGUUAUCGGUGACGGUGACCGCCGAGCCGCCGCUUGAGCUCUUGAAAACAUCUCUAUUGCACUGUAAAUUGAACUUCUGUUUUCCAAUGAAUGUGUUGAGUAUAUGGACUAUCGUGCCUUAAAGUCCCAUCCUCAUACGAGCCUUUGUAAAUGUUCUGUAAAUCCGCAAACCGUCUAUCGCUGGUAUCUCUGUGCACUCUCUACAGAUCUGAUUUGCUAUUUGGCAGGACCUUGGAAAACCCAACCCUGACCCGUUUGCCAUGAACAUGGGGGGGAUUUGUCAAUUCCCUCUUUUCUUUUUUCAGAAUGCUUUCCUCUCUGACAUUCAUGAAAUCCUAUUUUUCUGCUUUCUGCCAUAGCUGGGCUCUGGGCCGCCUGCAGCACCAGGAGCCCCUUGCAGGAACUCAGAAAGUUGUAAAAAAGUUGUCUCCAGAUUUUAAACACCACCUGUAGAAUGCUCCCAGGAGGGAAAUCACAGCUGCAUAUAUCAACUGUGGCAGGUGUUGUCAAUGUCAUAUAUCAUCAUGUAUUUGAUAUGAUUGACAAAGCAGAGAAGGGAACACCUAUUUCUAUUGAAAUGCAUGAGCCUGCAUUAUGUUAAAUACAUGGUGAUUAUACACUGAGUAAUUGGAAUAAUACCUACUGGUUCUGUAACAAACAAUUAAAAAAAAAAAAAAAAGAAGAAGGCUUUUUAAUGUUUGAAAUUACCUGGGACCUGAUUGAAGGUUUUUAUGAAAUUGUUUUCUAAAGUGAAUGGUAGAAAAAAUGUAUAUGUAUUUUAAAUAUAUGUAUGAUGUGCAUGUUAUUAUUAAAGAUCUAUUUCUAUUGAA